UACGUAGGUGGCAAGCGUUGUCCGGAUUUAUUGGGCGUAAAGGGCUCGUAGGCGGCCGACUAAGUCAGACGUGAAAUCCCCCGGCUUAACCGGGGAACUGCGUCUGAUACUGGACGGCUUGAAUUCGGGAGAGGGAUGCGGAAUUCCAGGUGUAGCGGUGAAAUGCGUAGAUAUCUGGAGGAACACCGGUGGCGAAGGCGGCAUCCUGGACCGACAUUGACGCUGAGGAGCGAAAGCCAGGGGAGCAAACGGG
rnacentral:rRNA from 1 species